UGCAAGUCGAGCGAACAGAUGAGAAGCUUGCUUCUCUGAUGUUAGCGGCGGACGGGUGAGUAACACGUGGGUAACCUACCUAUAAGACUGGGAUAACUCCGGGAAACCGGGGCUAAUACCGGAUAAUAUUUUGAACCGCAUGGUUCAAUAGUGAAAGACGGUUUCGGCUGUCACUUAUAGAUGGACCCGCGCCGUAUUAGCUAGUUGGUAAGGUAACGGCUUACCAAGGCGACGAUACGUAGCCGACCUGAGAGGGUGAUCGGCCACACUGGAACUGAGACACGGUCCAGACUCCUACGGGAGGCAGCAGUAGGGAAUCUUCCGCAAUGGGCGAAAGCCUGACGGAGCAACGCCGCGUGAGUGAUGAAGGUCUUCGGAUCGUAAAACUCUGUUGUUAGGGAAGAACAAAUUUGUUAGUAACUGAACAAGUCUUGACGGUACCUAACCAGAAAGCCACGGCUAACUACGUGCCAGCAGCCGCGGUAAUACGUAGGUGGCAAGCGUUAUCCGGAAUUAUUGGGCGUAAAGCGCGCGUAGGCGGUUUCUUAAGUCUGAUGUGAAAGCCCACGGCUCAACCGUGGAGGGUCAUUGGAAACUGGGAAACUUGAGUGCAGAAGAGGAGAGUGGAAUUCCAUGUGUAGCGGUGAAAUGCGCAGAGAUAUGGAGGAACACCAGUGGCGAAGGCGGCUCUCUGGUCUGUAACUGACGCUGAUGUGCGAAAGCGUGGGGAUCAAACAGGAUUAGAUACCCUGGUAGUCCACGCCGUAAACGAUGAGUGCUAAGUGUUA
rnacentral:rRNA from 2 species